rnacentral:lncRNA from 1 species
GGGGACGAGGGUGCCAUCCGUUAUUGCUAGCAAUUACAAAUCUAGUUAUUAUUUUUCUUGCAACACAUUUUGUCCAGGUGAUUUCUCGAAAUCCGAUGGACCAAUGUUGAUGGAACUCUACUAUAGUGAGGACCCCAUGUCAAGUUGUGCACGAAGCAUGGAAUGGUUCAACAUGGCUGCCGUUACCAUGGAAACGGAACAAAUGUGGAAAAAUCCUGUUUUUUUGUUUUGGUGAACUGUUUGGAUAUGCUUUAACUCAGAAUCCUUAUAUUUUAAUACAAUGUAGGUGCCCACUAUAUACAGGUAUUGGAUGAUUUUGGAACUCAUUGGAACUACUAUGUUGCCAUGGAAACUACACCAAAAAUUUCAAAAAUAUGGAAAUGCUCCAAAUUUUUUGAAACUUCACAGUAACGAUGAGCAACAUUGGAAGAUGUGGAAUUUGGCGUUGGAAUUUCCAAAAUAUCUGUUGUUACCAUGGAAAUAAUGCAAAAAGGUCAAAACUUUGAAUUUUCACAGAACAUUCCAGAACAUCAGGGUUAAAUUUAUUCUAGAGACAUUAAAUGGUAUAUGAUGGUAUAUAUGAUUAUGGAGGGAAAAAAUUGCACUUUUGGAAUAUUCAAAAUGGCCGCCGUUACCAUGGGAACAGCAAAAUUAUGAAAAACUUCAAAAUGCUUUAAAUUUAAUGAAACUUAUAACACAUUUUGCCUAGCUUAUGUAGACUUAACUUUUGAGUUUCAAAUUUUUGGAAUUUUCAAAAUGGCUGCCGCUCACCUGGCAAUGGGAAAAGGGUGCCAUCCGUUACUGCUAGCAAUUACAAAUCUAGUUAUGUCACCCGAUCGACAAUGUCGGGUGACAUAUUGCUUUUCCUCUGUUUCUUUUUUUUAUUAUUAUUCUUCCACCUAAUUUUGUCCGGCAGUUUUCUUGGAGCCAAUGGAACCAAUCUUAAUGAUAGUUAACUAUAAUGAGGAACAAAAAAU